CUUGAUCGAACCGAGCCACAGCGGCUCGUCGUCGGCGCGCGCCUGGCCGUAGGUCGCGAGCAGGGCGUGCGCCUC
rnacentral:antisense_RNA from 1 species